CAUUAAAAAUGCAUUUAUUUUAUUUUAUUUAUUUUCCUCAGCAAAGCUUGCUUAUUUAUCUAAGUUUCACUCCACAGCAAGGUUGCUAAGAGACAAGGAGUAGAUCUUAUGCAAGAGUGAGUAGGAGAUGAGAGAAGUGUGUGUGAGAUUCCUUUUGCUAGAAUUGAAUUGCAUUUCUAUUGUGUGUUGUGUCUAGGGUGGUAGACUUGUAUAGGUCCCUUUUAGUGAGCUCAGUGAGCCUUUCUUUUUAAACAGCUGCUUAAAAUACUUUUGGGGAAAUUGCAAAAUUGGGAGGAGACCCCAGUAGCUUUCCACUAGUUUUCUAGCAUUACAUCUUGGAGACUUUGUGUAACACACACCUAUGCAAUUUUGGGGCAGUCGCCAUUUUAUCUGCCAUCUUGAUAAUUUUUGAAUUUCAACUUUAAGCAGAAAAGCAGCCUUACUUGUUUGAUAUUGGCUGGAACUUAUAAAUACCUGUAUGAGGUCAGAUUUAGCAGAAUAUAUGCUGUUAUUUUAUGCCUGAAUAGAAGAAGCCAUCGAUGGUUCCAAGAUCGGGAUAUUUUCCAACACCGGAUAAUUUCCAGGAUCGGGACAUUUCCCAAGGUCGGGUCGUUUAGGAGACUGGUGAAUUAUUAGUAAGCUGAGAAUAUAAAGCGCCGUCUUUGAUGGAGGUUUUCGGCCAACAGAUAAGUUAUUAUAAAGAACAAUGAGAGAUAAAGCAGGAGGACUUUUCUUUAAAUGUGAACUCGAUUUCUGAAUAUCAGAAAGUCUAGCGAUUGGAGAUUUGAGAUUGAAGAUACAGACAUUAAUUAUGACUGAAAAGUUGAUUGAUAGAAGUACUGGUUUAAAUUUGGAUCCUUGUAAGAUAUGUCGGAGGAUAGUCUUGAGCUAGAGUUUGGAGAACAGCUCAAGUUUCAGGUGUUAGAAGAUAAAAUGUGAUCAGAAAAAUAUAUUAGGUCAGAGAUACAAAAUGGUGAAAGUAGAAUUAUAUAUGAAGGUGGAUUAAUGCAGGAUCCUUUCAUAAUUAUGAAUGUUUGGUAGUUAUGAUUGUGAAAAGAAUGAAACAAAGUUAAAGGUUCAAUUGAUAUUUUUUUUGAAGGUAUUGUUACAAGUGAAAGUGUAAUAUACUGAAACGUAAGUUGUUGAUUAGAUCAGUACAGGGUCUUUUCAGGGAUACUGGAGUAAGAAACAGGUCGAGAGUUAGGAAGUUAUAGAUUGGAUCAAAUCAGGAUCCUUUGCUUAUUUUAUGGUUGUAAACUUGUGAAUCAGAGUACUUUUCAGAACACUUUAUCAUUUGAGGUGUUAGUUUUAUUUCCCCUUUUGAACGUCAAAGAGAUAUGUUGAUAUUGGAGUUUUGUAUACUGAAAUAAAUUGUAAAUUGUGAUUUGGUA